rnacentral:rRNA from 1 species
UACAUAGGGGGCGAGCGUUAUCUGGAAUUAUUGGGCGUAAAGGGUACGUAGGCGGGCUUGCAAGUCUGAUUUGAAAGCACAUGGCUUAACCAUGUGAGGUAAUUAGAAACUACGAGUCUAGAGAGUGGUAGAGGUAAAUGGAAUUCCAAGUGGAGCGGUGAAAUGCGUAGAGAUUUGGAGGAACACCAGUGGCGAAGGCGGUUUACUGGGCCACAUCUGACGCUGAUGUACGAAAGCGUGGGGAGCAAACAGGAUUAGAUACCCUGGUA